AGUGUCCAUCCAUCCAUUUUCAACACCGCUUAUCCUGGUUAGGGUCGCGGGGCGGCGGAGCCUAUCCCAGCGGACUUCGGGCGAAAGGCGGACCACACCCUGAACCGGUUGCCAGUCAGUCGCAGCGCACAUAUAGACAUGGACAACCAUUCAUACUCACAUUCACACCGUCACUGAUUGGGAACUGAACCCACGCUGCCCGCACCAAAGUCAGGCGAGUGUACCACUACACCAUCAGUGACUCCCUGCCAUUGAGAGUGUGUUGACCAGCUGCAUCUUGGUUCUGUCUGCUGUGUGCAAAGCCAUGGUCUGGAAAGCUCUCCAGAGAGUGAGCACUGAUGAUCACCAGGGAUCCAACGCACUCAAACCGUGGACUGCUCAGCCUGCUACUCUCUGGCAAGAGGUUCUGCAGCAUCUGUUGAAGAACCACCAGCUUCUGUAAUAGUGUUUUCACCACACUCCAUCUGACUGUUAAACACACUCUUGAUUCAUCAUCACACACAAGUUUCAAUGGCUGACCCAAAUCAGAACUCUAGCUUCCGUCAGAGUAGAAACUCAGCUUGUGCAAUUGCUGACUCGUGCAAUUUGAUUUGGAUGUGACUAAAAUAUGUUUACUCUAGUUAUGCUUAGGUAUAUAUUUUGAACAUUACAUCUGUUCACAUUUUUCCCCUUGCACUUUAUACACUGACAUUUACGCGACUGUUUACAUUUACACGAGUUACUUUUCCCUCAUCGCUCUGUCUGCACUUUAUUUUAUUGGUGCUCAUUUAAUUUAUUUCAUUUAUUCGCAUGGAUUCAGCAGCGCUGAUAUAUUAAAAUUUCAUUGUGCACUGCUGUGUGUAAUUUAAAACAUGACAAUGAAGACGACUAUUUUGCUGUCAGGAUUCAGGUUACAAGUUGGACCCAGAUGCAGAGAGGACAGGGAGAUGAGUUUGUGAAUAAAGCUUUAUUGCAGCUUGGAAGCGAACAAAGGAACUCCGAGAACUAAAUCCGGCAUUGGCAGGGUUCGAACGAGGACCGGUCUGGCAGGGUAGGAGUCCGUGUUGUCGGUGGGCCGCGAGAGGUGAACACUGGUUUUCAGGGAGCAAGGACAGAUGGCAGACUGGGGAUCAAGAACAAGAAUUAGGUAGAGGUAACCAUCUAGGUCUUCAGGAAGCAAAAAGAUAGGCAAGGUGGCUAGGCUACGAACUCAAAGUAGAGCGUUGAUAGUCUGGCGACGAGUUGGAGUCCCACAGCGUCUUAAGAGCAGUCAGGUGUAAUUAGGAUGACAAGGUGCAGCUGCUAGACUCCAACACGUUAACCCUGCAAAGCACUCAUGACACACACACACAAACACACACACACACGGGCUGGACUCAGGGUGCUGAAACAGCAGCCCUGAAAUUAUCGAUCUACACAAGCACACUACACUAUACUACAAAUGCACUACACAAUACACAUGUUUAAAUAAACACACACUACACCACACACACAAACAGUGUGGUAACGAUAAAGAACUUCUGCCUCAGUGAGCCGGGAGGAGGAAACGUGUGUGAAACAUGUUUAUUCUGUAAUGUAGGAAUAAAUUUGGGACAUUGUGUCAUUGUGUUAAUUUGUGAAAUGUGUGUUUUUUUCCCCCAGUGGUUACUCUUGUUACGUCAUGCUGAAAACGUAACACCUUUUCUCUUCUCUGAUGUCCGGACCUUUAUAUCACCCCCUUAUUGUGUGUGAGCAUUUGUGUAUGUGUGUUUGUGUUUAGGCGGCACGGUGGACGACUGGUUAGAGCGUCUGCCCCACAGUUCUGAGAACCUGGGUUCAAUCGCGACCCUAGUGAGGAGAAGCGGCUCAGAAAAUGGAUGGACGGAUGGAUGUUUGUGUUUACUAUGCAUGUUUGUGUUGACUGUUCACCUCUGAGCUGGAGAGAUGUUGCUGAGUCCCACUAAUGGCUUCUAUUGACAAUUCAGAGGCAACUAGGCCUUGUCUGUACCCACAGGCCUUGUGCCUGAAGAAAGCAAAAACUGUCAAGUAAAUUAUUAAUUCUUUAAAGUCUGUCAAUAAUUAAUGUCAGAUUAAAUUGUAUGUUUUCUUAUCUAAAUGCAUUCUGACUAAAAGCAGUUCAUUCUUUACCAUUUCUUACAUUUUUAAUUUGUUGCAAACAAAGUAGAGACAAGCCCAAAUAUUCUUUUCUGUUCUGUUUUCCCUUUCUGCAUAGCUGAUAGAAACACUCCAUCUCUUUUCUGUCAUACAUUAUUAUUUUAGGGGCUCAAGGUAUACAAACAAAUGAGAAAAGCAUGUAUUUGUGUAAUGAUUUCUUGUCUUGUAAUGUCAGUGAUGUACACACAUAAGCUUUUACUUGACUUGCAUUUGAAAACCUCCCCGGAAAAAGAGUUUGUGCUGAAUAAGUGAACUACAAACGCAGAAUAAUAUUUAAAAAGAUGUGAGGAGGGGCGCCCAUGCAUGAAUAACUGCCAGUCUUCCAUUUCAUAUCCCAAAGUAGAUUCAUUUGGACAUUUUCCACUGCUUAAGUGUGUUUACAGUAGUCUGUGGUAACUCUGCCUGCUGAGGUAAUGCAUGUUUGAUCAAUUAUACUUUUUGCACAACGAAGGUUAGUAAUGCAGCGUCACAAAAGACAAAGAAAGAAAAUAUACAUGCUGCCUCAGUAUUGUUACGUUACACAACAAAUGACAUAAGAUACAAAUGCCACACAGAAAGGCCUCACCUGAGACCCCCAUUCCCCCAUUUAUGAGAAAAGCUGGCAUCUAUUUAAAAGCAUACAAAAAAUAUUAUUAUUAUUAUUAAAUAAACCUGUACUUUUAAUAAGGGCCUUAAAGCAUAUGGAAUAUUGUGAUAUCUCGACAGAUGAUGUCGGGUCACAAUUAUAAAAGUAGUCUUCUCUAUUGAAGAACAUAUAUAAUUUUGCAUAGUUAUGAGUCAUUGUUUAAAAUAUAAAAUCAAUAACAUAGUUUCCCUGUAAUGAAUCCAUUGACUUGGAUGGAAGCCAAGACUCUCUUGAACAAGUUGCUACCACACUGUUGGAAAAAAAGGAUGUUUGGGUGACAGGUAAUUCAUUUUGUUUCUAAAAGUUUACAAUGUCGCCUAAGAACUCCAUCCAUCCAUCCAUUUUCCGAGCCGCUUAUCCUCACUAGGGUCGCGGGCGUGCCGGAGCCUAUCCCAGCUAUCUUCGGGCAGGAGGCGGGGUACACCCUGAACUGGUUGCCAGCCAAUCGCAGGGCACACAUAAACAAACAACUAUUCGCACUCACAUUCACACCUAGGGGCAAUUUAGAGACUUCAAUGAACCUACCAUGCAUGUUUUUGGGAUGUAGGAGGAAACCGGAGUGCCCGGAGAAAACCCAUACAGGCACGGGGAGAACAUGCAAAUUCCACACAGGCGGGGCCGGGGAUUGAACCCCAGUCCUCAGAACUGUGAGGCAGACGCUCUAACCAGUCGACCAACAUGCCGCCGCCUAAGAACUCGUGUUUUUUUUUUUUUUAAAUUUGAACAAGACUGACACAUCAAGUUUUUUGAUGCGCUAACUCAUACAAAGCUUCUUGCUUUGCAAUGCAUUAGAUUGUUUUCUUAUAAGCGUUAUUACUCCAUUGGAGAUGUUCAACCUAAAAACAGAAAAUAAUAAUGUGUAAUGUCCAUGAAAACAGAUUACCCUAACCCAUUCCAAUCAUAUUGUGCUGCUCAGACAGCUUUAAUGGUGACACUUUCAAUUGCAUUAACUCAUUAGUGAAUUAGAAAAAGGAGUGUGAUAGCAGAGUGACUUAGGCAGACGUUUACCCUCUUGAACCAAUGAGGCUAACUCAAUGUCAAACUGAACAGCCGUUUCCCUCCUUCUUUGCUGGAGGCAACAAUCCAUUUGUCUUCAUCACUCACAAAGGUAAUCUGCUUUGGUAUUAACUUCAGUUCACAUCUAAAGUGUUGAUUGAGCAUGAGGAUGAACCUGGACCUGAUUCAUGGAUGAUGUUAUACAGGAGAGCACUCCUGACCUUCUGUGAGGCCAGAUCAAUACUGUUUCGUAGUCAAGCCUAUCAAUUGUGGGUCAUAUUCCUGCUGUGACCUAUGCCCUGUCAGCAACAACAAGCUCACACUUCCUAGCGUGUAGCGGCCAUGAGGUU